ensembl:lncRNA
CUGCCUCUGUUCCAGUGCCCUCCCGCUCUCCUUGUAACAGUGCACGUUAUACCCUCGGUAAGUAGAGGGUGGCUGGAAAUCGCAAUGGAGUUUCAAAUAAAUAAUAAUUUUCACGGCGCGCUGGUGAUUAAAUAUCACGGGUCAUUAACGCAGCUAAUGGGUCGUUGAUAAAACAAUUUAUCUGCGGCAUGAGUGAAAGCGGAAUAUUUCGGGGUGCUAAUUCCCUUGGAGCCUCUUUCCCCUCCCCUGGAUGAGCGGACCCACCGUCCCGCUGCCCCCGGCGGUAGCCGAGCUCCCCGCGAGAAGCGCAGCCCCGGAGGUUGGCGGAGAGGUCGGGAGGGUGCAGGUCUCGUCCCUGCGGCUGAGGUACCGCCCCGCUCUGUGCGAUUAGGGCUGAGCGGAGAGAGGGAAAGGAAAGCGGCUCUUUGUGGAAGCACCCAGCAGUCGUUCCCCCAGGGCCGCGUCCUGUUCCCGUAUAUGCCUGCACGAGUUUGGUCACUUUAUGCGCCCGUCAUCUUGUGCAGUGUUUUUUUCUUCUGGAAAUCCUACUGGAUGGUAAUAAGCACGGGCACAAAGCGAGGAAUGAAAGAAAAGUCCGAAUUAUGUGUGUGUAUAUAUAUAUAAAGUACUUGUAAGUAAAAAUACCGAAUUCUUCUUUUGCGAAAUCUCUGUUGUGAGAAAAGUUCAUUCGAAAUCAAUUAUUUCUGUUUAAAGAAAAUGAAUGACUACCGCAGUGUUGUUACCUACAGUGCUUCCUUCUCCAACUCUUGAGGUCAUACUUGGAGCAAUGCGCACACCCCGAUCGCGUACCGCUGCCCGGGUUUCAACAACUGCGGUGACGACCGACACUUCGUAUCCCUGAACUACACAAAUCGCAACGGAUUGGGAUUGUUACGGACGCGUCGCGCUGCGCUUCGCAGCGUGGGGAGAUCGGCUCCCCCUCCCUCUCCCUCUCCCCCCUAUUUGGCGUUCGGCUGCCAAUCCUCCGGCACCUACGGGCUUCCCCGAGAGGCAGCGACACUUUCAUAGAAUCACAGAAUCGUAGAAUCGCUAAGGUUGGAAAAGACCCACAGCAUCAUCCAGUCCAACCAUUCGCCCUUCACCAAUGGUUCUCGCUAAACCGUGUCCCUCAAGAGCUGGCUCUGUUACUUCCCAGACAUUUUUGGAUAAACUCCGGUGUGGUCUCGUAAUUAGUUCUGUAUUUAUAUGUUUAUGAUUUCCAACCGCUCGCUGAAGAGCAGCCCGUGAUAGCCGCACGUUUCCAGUCUAUAACUUUGAUCCGCUUCCCGGCGGGAGCUGUCAUCUCUAUUUCUUUCCCCGCAUUUUUCAGCCGCCUCCCAAUACUCCGCUUCCCUCCCUCAAGAAAGGGCGCUCAGCAAAGCGGGGACGCUGCUUUAGGAAACACUAACGCGAAGUACCAGCACAUUUGCUGCUGAUCUCCAGCUCUUAAUCUAUUGCCCAAAUAACAUCCCACGUUAUCUCCAGGACACGCGUUCGCUCUUCUGUCUCUUCCUGUGUCCCAUUAAUAGGACAAGCCCGCCUGCAUGCGACCCUUUCUACAUGUACUCAGCGACGGUGUGCUUUGGCUGGCUGAAGAGUGGGUACUUUCAUUUUAUUUUUGCAUUUCAUUUCAUUUCAUUUCAUUUCAUUUCAUUUCAUUUCAUUAUGUAACCGAUCCCCUUUCUCCGAUUCCCAUUCUCUAGGCAGCCCGCUGGGGACCCCGGAAUAGCAGAGCAGUGUCUCUGUGCAGCGGGCCAGGUGUGCGGUGCCGCCCGCGCGGUGAUAGCAGCAUUCUGCUGGCUCGUAUGAGAGAAAUCGUGUCCGUAUGUGGUAUUCUGUUUUUCUUUCCCUGCGUAAUGUGUCUCUGGAAGAAGUCUCAGCAUUUCAGCCGCCAACUUUAUCCUUAGGUGAGAUUGCAACCCGCCGCCCGCUGUCUCCGCGGGAGAAUGCCGGGCGGGACGCGUACGAGCAGGGCGACCUGAAGCCCCCCGGGCAGCACCGCAGCGACCCGGGGCCGCCACCGCCCGGCGCUUCUGCCUGCUGCACGACCGGCCGCUUUUGGAGGUGCUGGGAAGGGGCGGGAGACGGCUGCGAGAGAGGAGCUGCGGAGCUACUUCGAUGCACUCCACUCUACUGACAUCACUGCUUUUUUAUUUUUCCUUUUCCUUUCCCCCUCCCUUUUCUCUCUUUUCAUCCUUUUCUUUCUUUUUCUUUUUAUUAUUAUUAUUAUUAAUUAAUAUUAUAAUUAAUAAUAAUAAUAAUGAACGUAAUGCAUAUCCCGAGCUGGUACCUAAAACGAUAACCCUGCAGUUUGCUCUCCCGUUUCGGCAGUUCGUAGGUAGGCGUUUGUGCGUGUGCUGCUUCCUAAUCUCAGCUACAAUUACUUGCUUUUUUUUUUUUUUUCUGCUCCGGUUUACACUACAAAUGUGCGAAAUCGGCACCUUCAGCUUGAUGGCACACGGUUCUCCUGCUCUCCUGGCGCUAAAAUAAGGGUCUUUCCUACAGCUGUGCAGAUUUCUUCAGUGGCAACGUACUGCUGCCUGCAACCAAGGCUGCCUUUUUGUGCAUCGUCCCAUUUAGUACUGGAGUCAUGCGGGAAGAAGGGGCUUCUGCCCGGCGCCCGUUCAGGUUCUCCUGCCGUGGGAAACUGCGGAGCUCUCGGCUCUGAAGGAGCCUCUAAGCUCGGAAUUUACCGCCCGCUUUUCCGUGCUCCUUUCUUGACGUCACACCUCAACGUGAGGCUCAGCACCGAAGCGGAAACUCCGGGCGGGGCUCCCCCGUCCGGGUGCGGAGCGAGGUCGGUCCCGUCCCGCCGGCACGUUUUAGGGUCGUUUUAAUCCGUCUGAACUUCGAAACAAAGCUGCUUCCCAGAGGAAAUUUCCACUGCUGCUGCUCUCCUGCACCAGAGGGCGCCGGGCUGCUUCCCAGGCCGCUGGCGAGGGCUGCCUUGCGAGAGCUGCGGCUGCGAGUUAACUCUUUCGGCUCUUCUGUUCUGGCUGAAAGGGUUUUUUCCCUUCCUUCUCUCUCUUUCUUUUUCUUUUUUUCUUCUCUUUCUUCCCCCCCCCAUGCGUGCUCUCGCAGUGCUGCAAGGGCUUCACCCUCCCUCAACAUCCCCCAUCAGCCUCAAGAGAUUUACAG